rnacentral:lncRNA from 1 species
GAAGGGUUGAUGCGAUAUACCAUGUUCAGGAAUGGAAGAAAACAGAAUCUCUAAAGCUUUUUUGCUCAGAAGCCUUUAAGAAAAGUUAUCCUGAACGAGGUUAUGAGAGUCUCUCAGAAAGUGCAGUUGAAUAUGCCGGUGGCAUUCCACUAGCUCUUAAAGUUUUGGGUUCAUAUCUUCGUUCAAAAGGAAUCAAUUUUUGGCAAAGUACUAUAAGAAAACUCAGCUUGUAUCCUAACGAGAGAAUUCAGAAAGUGUUAGAAGUGAGCUACACUGCAUUACAUGAUCUAGAAAAGAAUAUGUUUCUAGACAUUGUGUUUUUUUUCAAAGAAAAACAGAAAGAUAAUGUCAUAAGGAUACUGGAUGCCUGUGGUUUUGAAGCAACUAGUGGAAUAGAAGUUCUAGCAGACAAAGCUUUGUUAACAAUUUCAUAUACAAACAUAAUACAAAUGCAUGAUUUGCUGCAACAAAUGGGUUUGGAGAUUGUACGUCAAGAAUGUACAGCAGAUCCUGGCAGACGUAGUCGCUUGAAGGAUAAUGAAGCUCGUGAAGUGAUUAAAGAAAACAAGGUAAACCAAUAAUCUGCUGGCUUUUUACAAGACAGAUAGUUGUAGCUAAUUUGAUAUUGUUUACUUCUUUGGUGUUUGUCAGGGAACUGAUGCAAUUCAAGGAAUAGAACUGGAUUUGUCUAAAGUUAAAAAUUUACCUUUGCAUUCUGACACAUUUACAAAGAUGAAAACCUUGAGAUUUCUGAAAUUCUAUAACUCCUCAGGUGAGAGUUCUAGUAAUACAUACCUUGACCUUCCUGCAACUCUUGACCCAUUUUCUGAUAAACUGAGGUACAUUGAGUGGAUUGGAUACCCUUUUGAGUCUCUUCCAUCACCUUUUUCUGCAAAGCUUCUUGUCGAGAUUCACAUGCCACAUAGCAAAGUAAAACAACUUUGGAAGGGAAUCCAGGUAACAAAAAAAUGAUAUGUAUGUACACAUUUUAAAACUUUUUUGAGCAUUUUCCUUUGUGAUGCCUGCUUUUGAAUUGUUCACAGGAACUAGAUAAUUUAGAGGGAAUUGACCUAAGUGAAUGCAAACAGUUUAAAGAGCUUCCAGAUUUGUCCAAGGCACCAAGACUUAAAUGGGUGAAUCUCUCAUGUGUUGAAAGUUUGCGGUAUCUUCACCCAUCUGUUUUAUCCUCGGCCACACUUGUUACUUUGAUACUGGAUGGGUGUACAAAACUCAAGAGUGUCAAAGGUGAAAAGCGUUUAAAAUCUCUAGAGAAGAUCAGUGUCAAUGGCUGCUUAAAUCUGGAGGAAUUUGCAGUGUCAUUAGAUUUACUUAAAAUAUCGAAUAUGAACAACAGAGGAAUCCAAAUGUCAGGCACAUCAGUAAGGCGAAAGCGUUGUCCUUUGGAGGAGUCAUUUUGCUUGACAUAUCUCAAGAAGAUGAAGCUAGUUGAUAGUGGACUACUUGUGAAGGAUUUGAUUAACUACAAACUACCUUCCAUCAAAUAUUUGUACAUGCUAAAUCUAGAUGAAUGCAGUAUGAGAACGUUGCCUGAAACCAUUAAGAAUUUUGGAUAUUUGAGAAUUUUGUCCCUGGAGAAUUGUAACCAGCUUCUGCAUCUGCCAAAGCUUCCAUCCAGCAUCAAUUACUUGGGUGCCAUUAACUGCACAUCAUUGGUGACAGUGUCAAACUUAGUCAAUUUAGCAGAAGCGAUGUGGGGAAGUACCAGAUUCAUUACAUUCAAGAACAGCUUGAAAUUGGAUGAACAUUCAUGCAAACUUCUUAUGGAGAGCGUACAGUUAAUAAUGGUGUCUGCUGCAUUUGACAACAUGGUGAGAAAAUCCCAUGACCUCCACGGCUACAGUUAUAACAGUGUUGAACUUUGUGUACCAGGAAGCAGGGUCCCACACCAGAUCAAAUAUUGGAGCACUGAGUGCUUCAUUACCAUUGACCUUCCCAAACUUUCCAACUUGAGGGGCUUCAUUUACUCUGUGGUUCUUUCUCCAUCUGGUGAAACGAAGAAGCAUGCCACUAGGAUUAUAUGUAAACGCCACUUAAGAGAAAAUACAAGGGAAUCAUGGGUAUCUAGUGAUAUUGAGGGAUUGAACACAGAUCAUGUUUAUGUAUGGUAUGAUCCAUUCCACUGUGAUGGCAUUUUCAAAUAUAAUGAGCCAAGUGUUUGUUUUGAGUUCUGUGUUACAAAUGAUAAGGGGGAAGUUGAUGGCUUCAUGUGUAUUAAAGAGUGUGGUGUUGGAGUUAUAGGUGUUUCAGAACUGCUUAGUGUUUUAGGAGAGUUGGACUGGGAUUCGGAUAAGAAGAAGAACUUAGUGAAGAGAGUGGAGUUGAUAGCACAGGACAAAGGAUAACCUUAACAUCAAUUGAACGAUCUGCUGAAGAGGAAAACAAUGGCAUGAGAAAUCAGAUAGGGAAUCAACAAGGGGACUUGAGUGAACACAGCUCCUCUCAUAGUAUAGUUGGUAUGCAACUCAUUACUCUUAUAUGAAGCUCGGACACGCCUUUUAAAUGAUGUGUUCGUGUCGGACACACGUAUCGGUAUAUCAGUGAAGUAUCAAAUUCAAAUAAUAUUUUUUGGGUCUCUAACAAUUCUAACACGGUUUCAAUACAAUUUUAAAAAGUACAAAUACAAUAGUUUCCUAAAAACUCAAAUUUAUCGUAUAAGUUUUUAUUAUGAUUAUAGAAAUAAGGAACAAAUCAUUUUGAACCAGCAAAUGAAAACAUAUUCUGCCACAAAGAAAAAACCCAAUCAUACUUAUUCACAUAAAUCUUGAUUGUCAAUUUAUAUAGUUCAUGAUGAUAUAAUAUAUAAAUUUGUGUCCCUGUAUCCUACAUUUUAGAGAUUACACUUGUCGAAGUGUCUGUGUCUAUGCUACAUAGCUUAUAACUACUCAUAACUAUCCAUUGUAAAUUGUGAUGAUACAGUGCAAUGUUUUAUCACUUCAUUCAUUUUUCUUAAAGUUUUCAAAAUUAUAUUCUCACUUGAACUGUCCAAAAUUCCAUAUAUGAUUUUUCAAUACUAUUAUUACUAGUUACCAUGCACUCAACAAACAUUUUGUAAAUGGUAUCAUGUCUUCACUUGCACUUCUUUUUUGAAUUGUAUGAAUCUCAGCUAUUAAUUUAUAUUUUUACUUGUGAAAGAUGGAACUGCACCUCAUGCAGUUAACUUUUCAAUUGCAGGAGAUCCAUAUCCUCUUCAUACAUCAUUGGUCAAUUUAUUAUUUUGGCAAUUUAUCAUUCUUCUUGUCUUCAGCAGGUACAGAAUUAGUCUCAAAGAUGGUUGAUCAAGAUUCAGGUGAAGAAGAUAAUGAGAGGAAAAACCAUUAUUCUGCUGUGGAAGAGAUUAUCAACUCUACCCACAAGGAAGUCAAAACUGAUUCUGGCACAGAUUGUAGGCAGAAUACUACGAAUGCGGUUAGCCAAGAGUUCUUAUAUUUCGACAAACUUUGUAUAGAAAAAGUAAAAUUUCACAAACUUUGUCGUUUGUUAAUAUGAUGAUUAGGUUGUGCUUGUGCAGGUCAAAAGCAAGGGAAAUAGAAGAGCAACAGCUGAACAUGAAGCUAAUUUACAUGACCUCAUUAUUGAGUCACAACAACCAAACACAGAAUAUAAAGAGUCAGAAGACAACUCAAGUAUGGAACUUAAUCUAUAUACACUAUUACUUAGUAAAAUUUAUACUAUCAUUCUUUAACAGCCACACGAACUUUAUGUUGAUGAGUGAUAUUUUCUAAGGUAAUUACACAAUCUGAAGUUCCACGAAAUUACAUCUACUACCUGUUUUUUAAUUAGUUAAUAGAAAUGGUAUAUGAUGUUAUCUCCUUAUAUAAAAGUUAAGAGAAGUUUAUAUACAAGGUAUUCACUGAAUACUUCUAAAUGUGCAUCUGUCUUUUUGGUUUAUUUUCUUGUUCAAUUCAUUCUUUUUUCCUACAUUUUUCUUCUGCGCUAAGUCACAUAAUCUAAGAUAGUAGUGAUGGUUGAACUAGAAUCAGUUAAAGACAACAGAGGGAGUAAAGACUAUUUUUCUGGUGUCGAAGAGAGCAUUGAAUACUGUGCUUGCAGUGCAACCAAGACAACUGCUAAAAGAGGUCCCAAAGAAAAAUCAACAAAGUCUACAGAAAUUGUAAGUAUCUUUAUUUUUGCAAAUUUUAUCACAUUAUUUGAAAGUGUUAAAAAUACAAAACGUAACAGUAACGUUUUCUUUACAAAGAAAAACUUAGGUAUAUGAAAUGUCCAAGAUUAGCAGCACAAGGUGAAUACAUGUAUAAUGAUAAUUGAUAUUUGCAAUAUAAGCAAUCUGAGGUGAAUUUUUGGCUAACUAAAAUGGAUCUCAAUAAAACUUUCCAAAACAAAAUGGCACAGCACUGAUUGAUAACAGAAGCAUGUUCUGGUGCAAAGAUCAAAAGAAGGUCCAUCAAGGCUUGAUUUCAAUGCAGUUUCACAGAUUCCUUAUGAAACCAACCUGACGAUUUAUACAUGCAUAAAAAAUUUCCAGCUCCAACAACUGACCUUGUUUUAUCCACAAAGUUCAAAUCAUUUCUCCUUUUUAAACACUUGUUUAUAGUCCCUUCGAAGUGAUCUUUAAUAACAAGAGGCUGAUAUCCUUGUGAAGGAAUAUCUGUUAUGCCUUUUUACCUAAACAAUUAUUUCUAUAAAUUUUGGGUAAUAAUAAAGAGAGUGCAUUAUUAGUAUUCCCAUUGAAGUAUUUAACUUUGUGAAACCUGGACUCUCCGAUUUCACAGGUAGCCAAUGAACAUUCACAGAGCACAUCACUUCAAGCCUCUUCCGAAGGGGACUCUGAGGACUUGCAUGAUAGGUUAGAAGAAUCGAAUAAGCAAGUUGUAGAAACUCAUGAUACAGAGAAAUUUGUUAUUAAAUGCUCAUCCUUGGACCUAGAGAAUUGCCUCCAACAGUUGGAUGAAAAUCCAUUUGCAAUCCUUGACUUGCUUUCUAAUGAGCUAUCUCCUUCACUGAAACAAUCAGAAACUUGUGUUCAAAAGGAAGCUCAAGCAAAUGAUGCUACAACCGUCCUCAAUGAGUUCCGAACCUUAGUGUUCUCAACAUCGUUGCUAAAGAAACUUCCAGACCACUCCUAUCGGCAACAAAUUGAAGAAUCACUACACAAGCUUAACACUUAUCGUAGAGAAAUUACAGAAGAGCAAAAUGAGGGUUUAGAAAAAUUUAUAGAGCUAUACAAUAAAGCUUCCAAAAUUUCUCAGGAUAAGAUGUUAACCGAGGAUGAACAAGCAAAACUGGCAUCUGAGAAGAGAGACUUGUAUAACAAACUUCAAGAUUCUAAACUGAAAGUUCAACAGUUUGACACCACCAUCUCAACUAGUAAGUCUAAUAUGGAAAACCUCCAAAAGAGACAAAGGGAAAUCCAUGAAGCUAUGAAGAAAUUUCAACAAGAAAAUGAAGGCUUGGAAAAUGAGAGGUCAACACUUGAGGUUUUAUACUCAGAAAAACAAACCAAGAAGAACGAAACACUUGAAUCAGUGAAGUGUAUCUCCACUUCUGUUGUUCAAAGAACCAAACAAUUAGAAGAACUUGAAGAGAAAAGAUUGAGUUUGGCUUCAGCUUACGAAGACCUCAAAGAGCCAUAUCGAAGAAUGAAGACAAAACCCCCAUUUUGAUGUCAUUUUUAUUUGAAUCAUUCCAUAGAUAAGUUCCUGGCUGUAAAUAAGUUUGGUGUCAGUUUUAUGAUGAUGGAAAAUUUACAAAAGUGGUGCAGAUUUCUUUCUAAACUACCGAAAUGGGCAGACUUUUAAAUAUUUACUGCCAUGGUCAUAACCUUGUUUUGUUCAUUUUAAUCAGAAAGGAAGACAUGACUUUCAGGUGUUUUUUUUUUCUUUCUAAAAGUUUUGUACGGAGUGCACGACUUUUUUUUUUUUAAUGUUUUUAUUUUAUUUUUUCUUUCAAAUCAGAAAAUGCUGAAAUUAUAUUUGUUCCGAAUUUGGAUAUAAUUGUUUUGGGCUUAGAAUCAUGUAAAGAUUUAGAUUUGUCUUAUGUUCAAUAAUCCUAUACGAGUUAAGCUAAAAAUAAUUUAAAUACAUCUUUCUUUUUUAAUUCUUUAAUACGUUUUUUUAGGAUAAUAUCAUGAUGGAACUACAAGCUUCAAAACGGAUAUUACAUUGAAUGCGGUGAUUGAUCAUUAAAAUAUUAUAUUAAUGGACCUGAAGUUGGAACAUUGGUGCGGUUUGUGAGAAUAUAAAAGUGGUUCCAAAGAUGAACCUUCGUUUCCUUAACCCUCAACUAGAGGAUGGAUAAAUGGUUCUAAUAUAAAAGUGGUUCCAAAGAUAAACCCUCAUUCCCUUACUAGAUGAUAGAUAAAUGGUUCCAAAUCCCCUCUCAACGAGAGAGCUUAUUCCAGUAUGCUCAAUAGUACUGCAUUGCUUAGGAGUAAAACAAUUUAAAUCACAUUACACCCUUAACCCCAAGACGCCUUUAAAAGACAACCAAAUGAUGAUGGAGCUUCGAGUUCAAAAAGAACAAUACUCCAAAUGUGGUGGAUGAUCAGGUAAUUCACAAUAAAAAAAAAACUAAUUCACACUAUAAAUUCCUUACCAGUCUUCUUAUCUGGCUUAGUGGAUGAUCAGGUAAAUAGGGGUUUGAGAGGACAAGUAUAUCUUUAUUAAUUAUUAUAUCACAUAACAUGAAGUGGAUCUAAAUUAGCAUUCGUGAAAUGAUUAUUUUUUUAAUUUACACUUUUCAAAUUAUUAAAAAGCUUUCAAACUGUACUACGCAUUCUCAACAAAAUUGUACAAUAUAUUCUAUAUUGUAUGAUUUAAAAAUAUUAAUUGAGAAUAUCAUAAUAGAAUUAAUGAUUAUAACGAAAGUAAAUUUUUGGAAGUAUAGAAAUCAUAACUUGCGUGUCUAUCCACGGUCUUUCAUACAUGCACGUUCAUAAAACCAAUCUACACGUGUGACUAAAGUCUGCAUUCAAAAAAACUUUAGAAAAAACUUUCAAGUUAUAUAAAUACUAAUAAGUUAUUUCAAGAAAUUCAUUUAAAAAGAGUGAACAUAGAAUAAACCUAUUGAGUUCAAUUAAUGCAUAAUAUAUAUAUAUAUAUAUAUAUAUAUAUAUAUAAACUACCCAAAAGGGUAAUUUUACUAAUCUCUUCUUUAAUAAUUGCGCCGUGUGUGCAAAAAUUAAGUUUUCCAGAACAUAAAGUCAACAUUUUCAGAAAACUGACAUUAAACCUUUUAAAAAAGUUUUGUUUUUUAUACUAGAAGAAAAUGGUCUUGAUACCCCUCAUAGAUUUUUUAGAGGAUUCAUCCAAAAGAUUUCAUAGUAUUAUCUUAAAUAUAAAAUUUUAAAAUAAUAAAUUUGUGGGUCACUUUUAUUUAACAUAGGAGUUUAAAUUCAUACUAGAAAUUCUCAGCGCAAUAAAUUUUAGAUAUGAGAUAAUGAUUUUAAGUUGAUUAGAUUUUUACAAGUUGCUUUCUAAUAAACAAUUAGAAAGUAUACAUUUUAGUAGAAUCGAAAUUGAAGUGUAGAAAGUAAUUAGCAGAAGUCAAAAGCGAUCAAAAUGAGAGAACCCCAAGAACAUAAUCCUUGAAAAGCUUCAUGGUCCAUUUGUUUCAUACGAUGUUGUGAUGUUGGUUGGUUCCUUCCUUUCCUCGAAAGGACAGUGGAGAAUAUGCAAAGUUCGGAGAUGUGUUCCCCCUUUGGCGAAAAGUACGAUGUUUUUGUGAGUUUCAGAGGAGCAGACACACGAACAAACUUCACAAACCAUCUUCUGAAUGCUCUGACUCAGAAAUCAAUCAGCGUAUUCAUAGAUUACGAACUCACCAAAGGAGACUACAUUUGGCCAGUCCUUGCCAGAGCAAUCGAGGGGUCUCGUGUGUCAAUUGUUGUUAUAUCCGAAAACUAUGCCUCCUCCAGCUGGUGCUUGAAAGAGCUGGAACACAUACUCCAAUUCAGAAGAACUCGGGGUAUGGUUGUUAUACCCGUCUUCUAUGAAGUAGAUCCCUCACACGUAAGGAAGCUGAGUGGGAGUUUUGAUAAGUCUUUCGCAAAGCAUGAGCUAGACACCGGAUCAUGUUCAUGGGACCCAGAAGCCCACAGGAAGGAUGUUUCUAGGUGGAAAGCUGCUCUCAAACAAGCAGCCAAUAUUUCUGGAUGGGACUCCAGAUCAUACAGGUAGAUACCAUCUUCCUUGUUCAUACUAUUCUUUCAUUGAAAUAUGAUGAGAGUUUUAAAUUUAGGACUUUUGUCUUUUAGAACAUCUUCUAUAGAAGUUUUUGAGAACAUUUUGAUAUAGAUAAGUACAUGAGUUCCUUUGAAUUGAAAAGAAUUCCUUAUAUGUAAAAGUUAGUUUAUCCUUAUCUCCAUCCUCAUACCUAACUCUCCCACCCCUCUGAGAAUGGGUACACCCGUACUUAGGCACGUAUUCACUUAUUUACUAUUCCAAAUAUUAAUUCUCAAAUGAAAAUAUCAAAUAACAAUUAUGUGAAAAGUUAAAUAAUUACGAAACUAACAACAACAAAAAAAGUUCUAGUCAUUUAAUAAAUUAGAGAUCUUUUAGUAAUUUAAUUAUGAGACGUGUAUUGAGAUUGAGAUGGAAAUGGGGUGGGAUGAGGCGAAUAUGUACAUACCCAUUCUCAUCCCAUAUCCAAUUUAAAAAAUUGGGUAUUGUCCAUACCCACGCAGUACAAAGUCAAUAUGGAGAUUUUUAUUAAAAUCAGGAUGAGUUUGGACAAUACUUACACGGACACGUUUAUUUGCUAUCUCUACAUAUAAGUGUUAAGAAUCCAAGUAUGAGUUCAGAGUUUCACAUUGAAUAGAAAUCAAAAUGUCGAGUGACAUAUAAAGAAAAAAAUCCGCAAGCACGUAGUCUUAAGGUUUUGGAUUGAAGAUAGUUUCUUGUUAUCUUAAGAAUAAAAAUAUUUAGUUAUACUAAUUAAAUUAUUUUUAUAAAUAAUUGAAGGGUAAAUUAAAAAUUAUAAAAACUUAAGUAUUAGAGAACAUCAUCUUUAGGGGAAAAACAUGCAAGAGAGAGCCUUAAAAUUGAUGUUGGAUUGGGAAACAAAAUAAGAUCCGGAUAAAAUCCUUGGAGAUAUUCUUCACCUACCAAUUGGUGAAGUUAGCAUGACGAUUUAGAGGUUUGGCUUAGAGGUACGGUAAGAUAGGAAAACAUUGGUGGUUGAACAAAGUAGAGAUUAGAGUAGGAAAGAAAGUAGUAAGUAUUAUUUCAGAUAAUUAUCCUUGCUUUUAUCAAGUAAAUUCAUAAUAGUAUUAUUUCCCUAUGUGUGGUUGGUUUGUUUCAUUAUUAUGACAGAAAUGAAGCAACGUUCAUCCAGAAUCUUGUCAAUGAUGUAUUGCAAAAGCUACAGCAGAGAUAUCCUACAGAUCUAAAAGGCUUAGUCAGCAUGAAAAAUACUUGUGGAAAGGUGGACUUGUUAGUGCAAAAAUAUCGAGUCAUUGGAAUUUGGGGUAUGGGGGGAAUUGGUAAGUCAACCAUUGCUAAAGCCUUGUUUGCCAAAUACUUUCCCUCUUUUGAUCAUGUCUGCUUCGUGGCCAAUGCAAAAGAAUUUUCGCUCGAUAAGCUUUUCUCUAACCUAUUCAGAGAGGAAGUUUCCGCAUCAAAUGUGGUAGGAUCAACAUUUGAUAUGAGGAGACUCAGAAGGAAAAAGAUUUUGAUUGUACUUGAUGAUAUGGAUCGCUUAGACGUAUUGGAAUAUUUAUGUAGAGAGUAUGAGGACCUAGAUCCCGCUAGUAAACUCAUCAUAACAACACGAGAUAAGCAAUUGCUCGAGGGAAGAGUUGAUCAGAUCUAUGAGGUCAAGAAAUGGAAAACCAGAGCAUCUUUAAAGCUUUUUUGCUUUGAAGCCUUCAAGCAAAAACAUCCAAAAAAGGGUUAUGAGAUUCUCUCAGAAAGUGCAGUUGAAUAUGCCGGUGGUGUUCCACUAGCUCUUAAAGUUUUGGGUUCAUAUCUUCGUUCAAAAGGUAUCAAUUUUUGGGAAAGUACUAUAAGAAAACUCAGCUUGUAUCCUAACGAGAGA